AGCGAACGCUGGCGGCAGGCCUAACACAUGCAAGUCGAACGGACCCUUCGGGGUUAGUGGCGGACGGGUGAGUAACACGUGGGAACGUGCCUUUUGGUUCGGAACAACUCAGGGAAACUUGAGCUAAUACCGAAUGUGCCCUUCGGGGGAAAGAUUUAUCGCCAUUAGAGCGGCCCGCGUCUGAUUAGCUUGUUGGUGAGGUAAUGGCUCACCAAGGCGACGAUCAGUAGCUGGUCUGAGAGGAUGAUCAGCCACAUUGGGACUGAGACACGGCCCAAACUCCUACGGGAGGCAGCAGUGGGGAAUCUUGCGCAAUGGGCGAAAGCCUGACGCAGCCAUGCCGCGUGAAUGAUGAAGGUCUUAGGAUUGUAAAAUUCUUUCACCGGGGACGAUAAUGACGGUACCCGGAGAAGAAGCCCCGGCUAACUUCGUGCCAGCCGCCGCAGUAAGAC
rnacentral:rRNA from 1 species